rnacentral:lncRNA from 1 species
ACGAGGGAAGGAUUUGAGCAAUGCCCGGGAUCUGCAAAGCUUAGAACGCGCUGGAUGAUCAGUAGCUAGUGUGCACUGUGAUCCCCCUUCUGCUGCAGGUCAUGGCAAUUUGUCUGGAACUUUCGUAAGGCCACAGUCCAGAAAAGGGAAUACAGGCCCCUCUCUUUACAAGUAGACAGCUAGCUAAGACUUGAGCGCAAGUCCUGCGGCUAUUGAUUUUUGCUCUAUUCACCGUGCUUCUGUCAUUGUUGUUACUGGUCAGUGGGAUCAUUGGCACUUGAAGUGCACACCAUCGCAUGUCUACCUAUCACAUCGUUUGUUCCGUUUCGUUUCUCUCUUGUCUUUGAACUCUUGUUCCGAUCUUCAUAACAGACAGCUCCACUCGCUAGUACGUAGGUAGUUCAACAGCGCGCCAUGUAGUUGAGUUGUACUCUGUAGAGAGUAUGUGACGUGAAGAAUGGAAACAUCACAUUACUUUACUUGCCAUGUUUGGGUCGUCCUAAUCUCGAGUCCCCUUAAUUUGUCCAUAGUCUAUGGAAGAGAGGGGGGGGGGGGGCAGCAAUUUGCGUCUUGUGGCUCGUGAUUUGACAGGACGGGGCUAUUGUUUUUGGGGAAUUUGAGCAUAAGUGCGUAGCUAAUAGCUAGUUAGUCAGUCCAAUAAACUAAUUAGGAAACACGUACCAGAAAAUACCCGAAAAUUCUGCAUCUCACUGGACAGGUGACAGAAGGGCUACAGCCUACCGCUGUCAGUCCGGCUAGAGUUGUUGAACAGGGUCAACAGGACUAGAAAACGCCGAAAAUGGUUAGUUGUUGGCUUAAAGAGUGCGUCGUUAGUGAGGAACUGAACGUAGUGGAGAGAGAGCGAGCGAGCUGUCUCUACUUGGCGUCCCUAGGCACUUGGUCCCGACUCCCAAGCCAAUCGGAGAGCCCCUACCGGAGCCUUUUCCAAAGUACCGGAGUACUUGACUGAGCAGGCUCCAAGUCGAGGAUUGACAAGUACUGAAUACAAGUACAGGAGGAUACUUAGUAACUGUACUACGGACCCUGCGGAUCAACGUUAUCGCUCGUCUGGAUUUCCGCCGGGCUCGUCAAUAGUUCGCUAAUAGUUGUGUUGUCAUAUCAGGAGAAAUAUCGAGACCCAAAUUCCGAUUACCGGUAAAGCAGCAGAAGGAGAAAAGAAGCAUAGCAUACAUAAGGCGAAGGAAUGUUGGAUUGUGGUACAGGCCCCCAUGCCGAGUAAUGCUCCGGCUAAGUUCUGCGGGCUCGUAUAAUAAAUAAAACCAUGAUUUCAGUGGUUGGUAGGUUGAUGACAGUACGUAUGUAGCUGGUAUGUGACGUGAAUGCUGUCAGUCGCAUUCCAUGUUCGACUCUUGGAAUCAGGAAACUACAGUGGCAUGCUACGGAGAAAUGGUCUCAUGGCGCCCAUGGUCGCGGACCGCAUCCCCACAAUUCCUUAAUCCUUGAUCCUUGGAAUCUGGGCGAUCCAACAAGGCACGCAAAACUAAUGAAUGAUAGUACUCUACAGAGUGCUUCUUGGAAUGGUCGUACUGUGUACUGUUGUGACUGCUGACCGCUGACUGUUAGAGUCUAUUGGUGAGAUGUUCCUGAAUAUCCGCCCGCCAGUCCAUAUCGGGUGUAUACUUGAAUCCUCAUCAACACUUUCCCAGCGCUUUGGUAAAGGUCCAUUGGAGAAUUUUUAGAUUUCACCGGCGCCAGAGAGAGUUUCGACUACGGAGUAAUAGUUUGUUGAGUGGAUAAAUAGGUUGAAUAUUCCGAACACCCAUGAGCGAGUGCUUCUGGUGAUUUUACCUCCGAGCGUUGGUCUUCAAUCUGGUACCAAUAGUCCGUUUUUCUUCCGUGGGUGCCAAGGGAAAAAUUGACGAGGCGACCAGGAUGCCUCGUAAUCCUGGGAAUCCCUCCCAUGUCUUCAAGUAACUUACCUUAACGUUCGCCUUGAGGUGUAAGUAAGCAAGUUGAAAUGUUCUUUUCCUUACUCCGGCACUUUCAAAUGCCUGAGUCGAAGUCAAAUGUUGUGGGUUUCCAUCUCCUCUAAAACGACCCACAUCUUGUCACAGCAAAGACCACAGAGGGGAACUUAAUCUCUCUUAUUAUUAUUUGUUUUUCUGUUUUUCUCCCCAAAUUAUUAUUUUUUACUUCGUCUUUCAACACAUCCUUGGUUUUCGAACUGGACCGCCUUGUGACUGAACAGACCAAGAGGAGUUCAUGUUGAUGCAAUAUUGAAACCUUGGCCAGGACUAGCCGGCCUCCCCACUAAAGAGCCUUCCUAUCAAAAAAAAGAUGAAGCCUUGGCUUGACGAUCGUCGGAUUAGCGUCAGAUAGGGCGUAUUCGGAGGGCCGGGAUGUUGCUGAGUCCGACAGUAGUUUUUACUGUACAUGAUGAUUUUCUUUGCAGGACUCCACUCAAAUUUGACACAGAUGCCUGUUCGCCCAGCGACAUUACUUGUAUCAAACCAUUCUUCAACACUUGUCCAAAAGUAUGUUAUGGACUUUUCCCGAUAGGGAGUUCACAUUGUACCCAUCCUAUGCUUGGAUCACAGCCACGUUCUGUCAUUGCGCAAGGACUCAGGAGUCGUGUCAUCUGUCCCGUUGGAGAUGGGAGGAUUUCCGAGUUUAUGCGCGGGUCGAUGCCAUGAACCUUUUUUGUACAGGUGCACACAAGCAUUUCUUGUCUGUGUGACUGACUUGGCUCCGAGACGAAACAUAAUUCAAGAGCUGUUUCACAAGGCCCAGACAGAAACAGGGAACAACCUUGUACGGGCAAGCUUGAAGACAGGCACAACUUACACAAGGAUUAAUAUUCCGAGCAUCAUGCGCAGAGGAGAUAUAACCCGAUAUUGAGUCUUCCCACGGUGCUUAAACUUAAGAUUUGUUGGGUGCCGAGUGGAUCAUUGAAUCCCAAUUGAGCCUCUAAGCACUGUCACAGUGUUAACCCAGUCAACCCGCUAGUGGUGAACCAUAACAGCCUUAAUCAAGAGGGGACUAAAGUCAAACUACGCACUUACUCCGUACGUACAGUACUAUAGUAUCAGGUCAUAAUCUUGGCCCGUCUGGGUCCAAAGCAUGAGACGGCGCCGUAAAUAGCAAGGGGUGCGAUUGCCGUUGCGAUGGCAGAACGGUGAAGCCACUGGUUGGAAUAGACGAUUGGAAUGACUCAAGAGUAACAGUCACAGCCACAGAUGGUGACGGAGCAAAGACAAGGCACUGUUCCGUUCCUAGAGCUGAUAGGGUGCAUAGGCACCCCAUGCUUGAGUGUUUCCCCUAAAUAGCCUAGACCCAAGCUCGGGGCUCCGUGCUCAAUGGCGGUACGAGGGUGUAUUCGAUGAGCGACUGUAAGUUUGUGGGCAGAAGGAAAGUUGUAUUUUGAUGACUGGUGUUUGGAUGAAGAGAUUGUCUUGCAAGGUGAAGGUGGACGUUGCCUGAAGGAAGUCACGGAGGACGGGUCGACUUACCUACUCUUCUGGCGAGGCUCUUCGUUUCCACAACAAAGAAGCUUGAAGUCUAUAUUGUGACUCCCCCAAUACUACCUCGAGCGAAGGAAAUAAAAGAAAAACUUCAAAAAGAGACCCCAAAAAUGGAUACUCAGAGGGUCGAAACUCAAACAUUGGUCGACGACAUGCAUAAAGCCUGAUACUACCAAGCCAAUGAAGUGAUAGAGCAAGGCAAAAAACCACAAAAAAAGAAAUCUGCGAUCUCAAAAAUGCUCGAGGCGGAACUCAACUUUGUUUCGCGGUCAUUGGAUCCUUGAGAUGUAGGCCAGACAGCGGUCAGAUUGCGUUGAUGUUAUCAACGAGUACCGACGAAUACCACAGGCGACGAUGUAAUGCGUAACACAGAGCAAGCAUUGUGCUACAAUAUACGUGCUACGCGACGAGAAGAUUGCCCUGAGACGCUAUCUCGAUGUCACGAUUUUCGAUACCCCAAACCAUAUACCGUCCCAAUGUUGCAUGCGUACUCCACCAGCGUUGCUUUUAUACGAAGAUACAUGCUAGAUUCUGAGGGUAUCGGAUGGUUUUGUGCUGUGGCGAUGGGGUAUUUAUGGUUAUUCAUACCAGUUUUGACCAAGCGCAAUAUCAACGCGCCUGUAUGGGGCGAAACAACGGACAUUUUCUGGUUCAUUGCCAUAAACUGGCCCUAGAUGGCAAUAAGGCGCUAUUCGAUACUAUAUGAUUCCGAGCCUGAACGACUCGCAAGGUUCACGACAGACCUUGAGAUGCAUCUCCGAUAUACGUCCGGAUGUAAUCUGGGACAAUUGCGUAAAGUAUCCAUGACAACGUCUAUUCCGUGUGGAUGGAUAGUUAUAUAACUAUCAGAAAAGCGGAUUACGUUAUGCUUUUAAUCUAACAAUAGCAAGCCUCACCAUAGAGACCGACGCCGUCAGAUGUUCAAUGUACAUGCAAAAGUUCAAUAUCUGAUAUGCAUAGCUGGCAAAUCUCUACAACAACGUCAUGAUUUAGCGAGGGUUCUGUCAGCCGGCAUUGCGGGGCAAUGCUUCAUGUAUGUUGCGGACUAAAUCCGAGGGAGAAACUGUCCGGCUUGAAGCCAAACUGGGCGUCGCUUAUUAUACCAGGCCGGGUUCCAAGCCACGAUGUGGAUUACCUACCUUGCUACUUGCUGACGGCGUUGUACUGCCUGUUCCAGGCAAAGAGGCCGUAUUAGCUUAUAGUUUGCAGUUGGUUCAUUCAACCAAUAACGGUACAUGCAUCUAUGAACGGAGAAUGCACCGUCAACUGUCGACGCGAAAAUGCAACAGCACCGAUGAACUGGAUAGACAGGCUAUAAACGAUAAAGUAAUCGUAGAUCACAAAUUUCAGAGUUGGUUAGUGUGACUAACCAUCACAAGAUCCCGACUUCAUCGGGUUUAGACGAACAUGAUUACUAUCAGAGAAAGAAAAAGAAGACAUGGUACUAUACUACACCCGACAAAGCUGUGCAACCAAGUCAGAUGCUUGUCUUGUGUCAAGUGAUAAGUGCAUGUACCUACUACCUACCAUGGACAAUGGCAUGUAACAUCAUCACCAUCAUUCUACAGGUACAUACCCUAACCCAUCCAUAUAGUAUACACCCAUGACCCCGGCCUCGGACAAUAUAUUAUAUCUCCAAGGUCCGGUUAAACUCGUGUGCAUCGCGCAAAAUAUUAUACUCAGGGUGCUCAUUGGAUGGAUCCAUGCAAUCCACGUACUCCGUCGAGGAUCCCGGACUUCUCGGUGAACCCUUGGUAGGUGCACUAAUAGUGAUUGGCCAGAGUAUCGCAUCCAUGGAUGUCUUAACUGUCUGGAUUUUGGGGAAAUCAGAGCCUUGUGACUAUACCGGAGAAUUUGAUUUCGCGCACUCGGGAACCGGGGUUCGUUCAAUGCCAUUGUGCUUGACAAGGUUCGUGUGAUGGCUGAGGCAUACACCUUCUCUUCGCCGGUACUUCCCGGCUAGAUGGUCAUGGAUACCAUGCCUAUCUUCAUUAGCGAGAUGCAUGAACCAGGUAGGAAUAUGGGUGGUUGUACGAUGUAGGGCGUUACGCCACCCAGUGACUAUACUCGAGAUCUCAGUUUAUUGGCGGAGAAUUGGCAUCCGGCGCUCAUCCAUAUAGGUGGUUGUCAAUAGAUGAGAGCCAGCUAUGUUGGGAAUUGGACGUGCUCUUCGAGUCUGGCCUGAGGUGGACUCGUUGCUGUACAUCGCGAUUUCAGGACCGAUCUAUAGAGUCCCGAAUGUCAAGAAAGGCAUCCUGCAAGCCCUGAGCUCGGAUCUGGUGAGAAGAGGAAUUGCUUAAAGGACAGUUUGCCGAUAUCUUUGGCCCAUUUAUCCCAGAUAUUGGGAUCAUCCUCCUCUCGAUAUGAUUGCCUCAGUGGCACGGCUAUAUUGAGGUGAUGGCCUGCCCACCCUUUAUCAGUAUUUGCUGGAGUAUGCUGAUCGAGCUGAACUUUGGGCUGUGUUCAUGUUUGGAGAAUCAAACACUUCCAUAUUUCCCCAAGGUUUAGCAAAGGUGCUAAUACCUUUUAGAAUCAAGCCCUCGGAGGACAUAACAGAUCCUAUUUCUCGUUCUUCUGACUUGCGACUAGCGACCAGGUCAUUCUCUUGUGGCAUGAGGCGGCCCGAUGUAGGCGAUCAAACACCUGUAGGUACGGUAGUGAUUGAGUGAAUGGCUGGCUAGUCCCGACUUAUUCAUGGCACACGAGUCAUUUCAAUGUUGUGAGCGUUUUGUCAGAGCAAUGGUUGAAAUCUUGAGCAGCAAGCAAUCAGCUUCUAUUAUCAAAUCUGUCCUUCGGAGACGAAGAAAGAAUAACAUCUGGUUGGUGCUUUUUCCCAAGCGACAGUUUCCAGUCUAAAAACAACAGUUUGAUUCAAUUGAUAGAGAUGAAAAGUGUAGGCUUUUCCGGGGUUGAUAGCACUCACUUUGCCUGAGUACUGGCAGCUUCUUAUCAUGUUCAGAUUAUCCAGGUAGCAAAUAUGCGCUCCAACCAAAUUGUAACAGAGCGAGGAUAUCAGGGCAAAACAUAGGUAUGGCAUAGUGUAAGGCCGUGGAAUGAAGGGCAGUGCUGAUAGCUUCAUGCGCCAGAGGCACGUGACUCAUACAACCUCAGAAACUCAGGUAGGAUUGGCAAGCUAGCGAACACCGAAUAGCUGCAAACAAUACAGAGUACACACACUACACGUUCUAUAGCGAUCGUAUCUUUACUCCUUUUCCGUACUACUAAGCCUGUCUACCUCUUACACAUAGGAAACUAAGAGGACGUGAGCUGAAGAGAAGAAACUAAUCUACACGGAUUUAUGCCUGCGCAUGGCAUGAUUUAUGAUGGUAUAUGCCUUCGGAACCCACAAAAGUGUAC